rnacentral:rRNA from 1 species
GGCGAACGGGUGAGUAAUACAUCGGAACGUGCCCGAUAGUGGGGGAUAGCCCGGCGAAAGCCGGAUUAAUACCGCAUACGACCUACGGGUGAAAGCGGGGGAUCGCAAGACCUCGCGCUAUCGGAGCGGCCGAUGUCAGAUUAGGUAGUUGGUGAGGUAAAGGCUCACCAAGCCUUCGAUCUGUAGCUGGUCUGAGAGGACGACCAGCCACACUGGGACUGAGACACGGCCCAG